AGUUGCUUACACAUACUUGAAUUGUUAUUACAAAUGUUUAUUAUAUAUAGAGUGAUGUUAUCGACAGGUAAGUAAUGAGUUGUUUUUACAAUUGUGUAGUAUAGAUCGCAUUUGGAAGGUUUGUCUUCUGGAAGGAAAAGGUCGUUAUUAGGACCUACACCUAAUUCUAAAAAGAAAAGGUAUUUAUGCACAUACCAGACAUCGUGGUUUAAAGGCUUUUAAUGGAUAAAGCCUAGUGAUCGGGGUCCAAAUGAUGCAUACUGCAAUCUAUGCAAUUCGCAUAUUUCGGUUGGAUCUGGUGCCAAAAAUGAUGUUGGUAGACAUGCAAUAAACACAGAAUCAUAUGCAAAUGGAAAGUGCACAGAGUCAGUCAAUAUCUAUGUCGUCGUUCUUGCCAUCAUCACAGAGUGCACAGACUUCAGAUGUUUCUCUUGAUAUUUUAGGCUGAUGUUGCAAGAAUUGGCAUCCUCAGUGAUCAAAUACGAAGGCUACUGAGGAAGUUCCAACGGAAAUUUGUCAAAGCAUCUGUCAUAUCUUCUCACUCUGAUGUUACCACUGUUCCAUUUGAUGAUCCUCAGAACCAGUUGAGGGAUGAACUGAUCAGUAUUGGAAUGAAGAACAGAGCCUAUAGGGUGGAUUCACAGGAUGACAUUUGUAUGCAGACAGAAAAGGAAUUUCUUAGAGUAGUCAGGCAGUUCUACCAAACCAUUGUCAGCAAGAUGAUAAAGAAAUUUCCCUUUUUCUGACACCACUCUGAAUGACAUUGGACUCAUCAACCCACAGAUGAAUGACCGAUUUACAUCAGACAAGUGUUAAAUUUGGUGAAGAGAUUUCCUGGAAUUGUGAAGGAGGAACAGCUGGAUCUGCUGGAAGAGCAGUUUUCCGACUAUCAACUAGCUAGCCCCUGUUGGUGACAAUCCAGAUUGUGAAAAUGACGACAGAAUUGAACAGUUUUGGGGACAAAUGGAUAGAGUCAAAGACAUCUUGACACAAAAACCAAGAUUCCAUGUGUUGUCCAGACUGGUAAAAACACUGUUGGUACUGCCAAACAGUAACGCAGACUCAGAAAGAGCUUUUUCCAUAGUUAAACAAAUACACACUAAAUUCAGAGCUGA